rnacentral:rRNA from 1 species
CAGUAGCCACGGUAAUACGAAGGGGGCUAGCGUUGUCCGGAAUUAUUGGGCGUAAAGGGCUCGCAGGCGGUUUCUUAAGUCUGAUGUGAAAGCCCCCGGCUCAACCGGGGAGGGUCAUUGGAAACUGGGAAACUUGAGUGCAGAAGAGGAGAGUGGAAUUCCACGUGUAGCGGUGAAAUGCGUAGAGAUGUGGAGGAACACCAGUGGCGAAGGCGACUCUCUGGUCUGUAACUGACGCUGAGGAGCGAAAGCGUGGGGAGCGAACAGGAUUAGAUACCCGCGUAGUCCCUGUCUCUUAUAC